AAACACUCCAGGACCUUGGGAAAGAAAUCUGUAUCAGACAUGUGGGCUUCAUUAAGGGAAAUGCCUUCAGAAGAUUAUUUUUCCAUGUUAUGAGAAAAAAUCUCAACAACCACAGCAGAUGUUCCAGUGCCCAGGUGACCUAGAAGCUUCAUGUGGAGGUGAUGGAACUUCAGUAGGCCUGGAAGUGAUGCAGUAUCUUCUGCCCUCAAUAAUCUUGCAGUCAUGCUCCAAAAACUUUGACGACGUGUAUCUGAAACCAGCCCAAUUGUCCCAUAGAAAUGAUAUUUGAAUGUUUUUGAAUAAACAUAGAAAUUGACCCUCUGAAUUAAAACUAGAAACUUACACUUGUCUAUUCUGAGUGCCUUCCUCAGGAAAUCAACCCUCACUCAAGGGAAUGAAACUCACUCAAUCACUACAUCCAGACAAUGAGAUACAAGACCCCUCAUUCAUCAUGAUUGCUUCCUUGUUCCUCCCUAAUUCCCUGUUUUCCUGUAUAAACCUCCCAAUUUUAGUCCAUUACUGAGAUGGAUUUGAGACUAAAUCUCCCAUUCUCCUUGGCUGCAACACCUGAUUAAAGCCUUCUUCUCUGGCAAUACUUGUUGUCUCAGUGAUUGACAUUCUGUGCUGAGAACAGCAAGACCUAGACCAAACCCCUGGCACUUCAGUAACAUAUCAAGCACUGCUCAAUGUGAUAGCGACAGGAGGCAGCCAAAUGCCUCAGCAGAUAGGG
rnacentral:lncRNA from 1 species